GUGUAUGGUUUUCCCAGCCAAGCGGCUGUGCUUGGUGCCAUCCAUGGAGGGCGUCCGCUGGGCCUUUUCCUGUGGCACCUGGCUGCCGAGUCGAGCCGAAUGGCUGCUGGCGGUGCGGUCGAUCCAGCCUGAGGAGAAGGAGCGCAUUGGCCAGUUCGUCUUUGCCCGGGACGCUAAGGCAGCCAUGGCUGGUCGUCUGAUGAUAAGGAAAUUAGUUGCAGAGAAAUUGAAUAUCCCUUGGAAUAAUAUUCGUUUGCAAAGAACUGCAAAAGGAAAACCAGUUCUUGCAAAGGACUCAUUGAAUCCUUACCCCAAUUUCAACUUUAACAUCUCUCAUCAAGGGGACUUUGCGGUGCUUGCUGCUGAACCUGAACUACAAGUUGGAGUCGAUAUAAUGAAGACUAGUUUUCCAGGUCGCGGUUCAAUUCCAGAAUUCUUUCAUAUUAUGAAAAGGAAGUUUACCAACAAGGAAUGGGAAACCAUCAGAAGCUUUAAGGAUGAAUGGACUCAGCUGGAUAUGUUUUAUAGGAAUUGGGCAUUGAAAGAAAGCUACAUAAAAGCCAUUGGUGUUGGACUAGGAUUUGAAUUACAGCGGCUUGAAUUUGAAAUAUCUCCUUUAAACUUGGAUAUAGGCCAAGUUUAUAAAGAAACACGUUUGUUCCUGGAUGGUGAAGAAGAAAAAGAGUGGGCAUUUGAGGAAAGCAAAAUAGAUGAACAUCAUUUUGUUGCAGUAGCUCUUAGGAAACCCGAUGGAUCUAGACAUCAAGAUGUUCCAUCUCUAGAUGAUUCUAAACCAAGCCAGAGGCAGUUUACUAUUCUCACCUUUAAUGAUUUAAUAUCAUCUGCUGUUCCUAUGACACCUGAAGAUCCUUCAUUUUGGGACUGUUUUUGUUUCACAGAAGAAAUUCCAAUACGAAAUGGAUCUGCUAAAAUUUUAUCUGCUAUGUAGCAGUUUUCCUGGAUUAUGCCGUGUUGCUCUGGCCGAUUUGUUCACUCAGACACUAUGAGUAUUCCACAUUCCUUUGAGAGUGACUCCAUGACCUGCAGAAGCACUAAAGACUAGAAAGAAGCAAAGUGAUACAGAAGUAAGUAGAAUAAACUCUGGAGGUUGCACAGUUAUCUCGGGUGGACUUGUGAAGUGUAAAGGAACAUGGAGACAAUGCAGCACACAUUGAUGUUCAACUACCUAGAGUGAACUUGGAAUUUACAGAAAAACAAAGAUGUAAGCGAUAUAAUUCUGGGGUCUUAAGAUGCAGGAUGGCCUUAAAACAAGCAAAGAAAAGUAGUCAUAAGCAAGGUAAACAUUGGAGUCUGAUCACCUAAAAUGAAAUUGAGAUAGAAAAAGAACAAAGGAAUAAGUGGGACAAUUCUGAAGGUUGAAGUUCUAAAGUAUUCAAAACAAGCAAAGAAACAAGUGUGAUAAGCAAUGGAGUAUGAUAAGCUACAUGAACAAGAAGCUUACAAAAGAACAUAGAAUUAAGUCAAAAUAUUCUGGAGUUCAAAAAUCAUGACUGAACUUAAGCAAAGGAACAUAGUGGUAAGUGUAAUUGACUCUGGAGUCUUACAGUCUAUUAUCAGUUUGGGAGAAGGAAAGCAAUGUAGAGGUAAAUGGGAUCAAGUAUGGAACUGAUGAUCUUUCACAGUCUAGGGGGAAGAAAAGGGAUAUAGAGUUUAAGUAAAAUAAACUCUGGACUCCAGUUGUCUGGCAUGGGUAUUUGAGAAACAAACACAAAGGUAAGUGGAAUAAACUCUGGAGUCCACUUACCUGAAAUGAACUGGAUUUACAAAGUACAUAGAGAUAAGUAUGAUAAUUCUGGAGUCUGAGCUUCUACUAUGGAUUUAAAAUAAGUAGAGGAAUGUGUUGGAAAGUGAGUUCGACCCUGAAUCUGAUAGUCUAUAAUCAAAUUGAGAGAAGCAAAGCACCAAAGAAGCUUGUGUGAUAAAUUCUGGAGGCUGUACUUAUCUUGAGAAGCCGUGGAAUUUAGAGGUAAGUUUAAAAUGCUGUGGAGUCAAAAUAUGUAGGUUGGGCCUGUGAGUAGCAAAGGACAAACUAGAAUCUGAUGAACUAGAAUGGACUUGAGAUUUACAAAAGAACAUAUAUGUAUAUAUGAUUAUUCUGAAAUAUAAAGUUCUAGAAUGGAUUUAGGCACAUGGACAUAGAGUAUGUGCAAUUGACUUGGGAGUCCAAUAAUCUAUCAUUGAAUUGGGGGAAACAAAGCAAUGUAGAGGUAUGUGUGAUAAAAUCCCCAUGUCAAUGAUCCUCCUUAGGCUAGGAAGAAGGGGAUGUAGAGAUAAGGGGAACAAACUCUGGAGUUGAAGUAUGUUAGCAUAAACUUGCAAGAAGGAAAGGAACAUAGAGAUGAUGGAAUACACACUGAAGUUCAAUAACCUAGAGUCAACGUGGGAUUUAAAGAAGGAUAGAAAUGUAGUGAGAUAAUUCUGGAGACUGAAGAUCCUUCAUGUGCUAAAUCAACUGCUCGUAUCCUUAUUAAAUAAAUUAAUAAUAAAUCUUCAUUAGGUCCAUUUUCUUAAUAGUAUGGUUCAACUGUAAUUUAUCUUUGUAGAUUUUCUGUCUGGAUGACCUGUCCAUUGAUAACAAUGGAGUGUUGAAGUCCCUGACUAUAAUUGUACUAGAGUCUCUCUCUCUUUUUAAAUGUAAUAAUAUUUGCUGAAUAUAUCUUGGUGGUCUUGUAUUGGGUGCAAAUAUAUUUGGGAUUGUAUGUCUUCUUGCUGAAUUGAUCCUUUUAUCAAAAUAUAAUGUCCUUUGUCUUUUUUUUUUUACAAUUUUUGAUUUAAAAUCUUUUAUAUGAGUAUAGCUAUUCUUAUUUAUUUUUGGUUUCCAUUUUCCUGGUAUAUAUUUUCAGCCCUUCAACUUUAGUGUAUGUGUAUCUUUAUUUGUGCAGUGAAUUUCUUGUAAGCAGUGUAUAGUUGGGUAUUUUUUUUAAAUCAAUGAUUCUUUCAAUGUAAGCUUUUGACUGGUGAAUUUAAUCCAUUUACAUUUUAUUAAGGCAACAUAGAAGUAAAUGGGAUCAGCUAUGGAUUCUGAUGAUACAGUAUGGACUAGGGAGAAGCAAAUGGAUAUAUAGAUAAAGGAAAUGCACUUCAACCUCUGAUUAUCUAUUAUGGAUAUUUGAGAAACAAAGAAACACGGAGGUAACUGGAGUAAACUCCAAAAUUGGAAUCUGAUUAUCUGAAACUAUCUUGAGAUUUACAAAAAACAUAAGGAUAAAUGGGAUAAUUCUGGAUUCUGAUGUUCUAUGGAGUUAAAGCAACCAAAGGAACAUAGUGGGUUCAUCCCUUGAGUCUGGUAACCCCUCAUCAAAUUGGGAAAAUCAAAGCUCCAUAGAAUGAUUUGUGAAAAACUGAAUACUGAAUAUUUAUCUUGGACUAAGGAAAGCAAAUAAAUGUAGAGGUAAGUUUAACAUAAACUCAAGUCAAAAUAUAUAGCAUGGUAUUAUGAGAAGUGAAGGAACACAGAGAUGAGUGGGACAAAUGCGAGAGUCCAGAGAGCAUGGGAUUUACAAAAUAAUAUAUAUGUAAUUGUGAAAAUUCUGGACUUUGAAGUUCUAUCUGGACUGAAAAAAGCACAAUAAUAUGGAGGUAAGUGGAAUUGACUCUGACAUCCAAUAAUCUAUCAUCAAAUAGAGAAAAGCAAAGCAGCAUUAAUUAAGUGUUAGAAACUCUGGAUUCCAAUUAUGUAUCUUGGACUGUCAAGAAGCAAGGUGCUACAGAGGUAAGUGGAAUUAACUACGGAGUGCAAUGAUCUAGCAUUAACUUGUGAGAAGCAACGUAACAUAGAGACAAUGCAAUACACACAUAUUUGAUUACUUAGAAUGAAUUUGGGAUUUACAGAAAAAUAAAAAUGUAAGUCACUCAAUUCUGAAGUCCAAAGAUCAAACAUGGCAUUAAAUCAAUGAAAGAAAAAGCAUUCAUGAGUGGGAUAAGCACUGGAAUCCAGUCACCUUGAAUGAAAUUUGAAUUUACAAAAGAAUAUAGAAAUACGCACAAUCAUUCUGGAAUCCAAAGAUCUACAUAGGUCUUAAAACAAGAAUACAGUGUUAAGUGAGAUUGAUUCUGGAAACCUAUAAUCUAUCAUUAAUGUGAGAGAAGCAAAGCAACAUAGAGGUAAAUGGGAUUAACUGUGGAUUCCAAUGAUGUAGCAUAGAACAGGGGCAAGCAAAAUAAUAUAGAAGUAAGUAGAAUAAAUUGGACUUUGAUCACCCAUCAUGGACUUUUGAGAAACAAAGCAAUAAAUCCCACCAUAUAAGUAGGAUGAACUCUGGAGUCCUAUUACCUAAAAGAAACAUGAGAUUUACAAGAGAAUAUAAGGGUAAGUAGACAAUUCUGAAUUACACAUUUUACUAAAGAAUUGAAACAAGAAAAAGAACAUAGAGGAAAUUUGGAUUGACCCCAAUAGUAAUCUAUAAGCAUACUUGAAGAGACAAAACAAUAUAGAAAGAUUCAUGAUAAACUCUGGAUGCCAGUGAUCUUUUUUGGACUGUGGAGAAGCAAGGGUAUUUGGAGGUAAUUUUAAUAAACCCUGAAUCAAAAUAUUUAACAUGGACUUGUGAGAAGGAAAGGAACAGAGAUAGUGGGACAAACUCUGGAAUCCAAUUUUCUAGAAUGAACUUGGAAUUUACAAAAAGCAUAUACACAUGUGAGAAUUCUGGAGUAUGAAAUUAUAGCUUGGACUUAAAACAAGCACAGGGACAUAGAGAUAAUUGGAUUUGACUCCAGAGUCCAAUAAUCUAUCACUGAAUUGGGGAAACAAAGCAACAUGGAGGUAUGUGUGGUAAAAUCGGGAUGCUGAUGAUCUUUCUUGGACUAGGGAGAAGCAAGAGGUUAUAUUGGUAACUGCAAUAAAUUAUGGAGUAUUACUAUCUAGAAUAAACUUGUGAAAAAUAAAGGAACAUAGAGACAUUGGAAAACACAGUAUAGUUUGAUUACCUAGAAUGAAGAUGGGGUUUACAGAAGAACCAGAAUAUAAGUGGGACAAAUCUGGAGUUUAAUGAUCAAGCCUAGCCAUCAAUCAAUCAUAGUAAAAAAUAAUCAUUAGUGAGUUAAACAAGGGAAUAUGAUCACCUAGGAUUAAUAAAAUAACAUAAAAUAAGUUAGAAUAAUUCUGGAGGCUGAGAUAGAUCUACCUAUUAAGUGAUAUCCUGCAUUCCAGCUAAACCAUAAACUUUUUUCCAAUAAAAUCUAUUCCAUAAAAAAGAAGGGACCAUUACAUUGGUGUUCAGACACAGGAGACAUGAAGAAGCAAGGUAACUUGAUUCCUGCAAAAGAACACAAUCCUCCAGAAUUAGAUCCUGAACUGAAGUAAAUCUAUGAAGUGACAGAAUUUGAAAUAAUGAGUGUAAGGAAACUCAAUUAUCAAACAAAAAAAUGAAUAUUCCUUGCUCAUGGAUUUAAAGAAUCAAUAUCAUUAAAACGUCUGUAGAACAUAAAGCAAUAUACAGGUUCAAAGCAAUCCCUAUCAAAAUACCAAUGAUAUUCUUUAUAGAAUUAGAAAAAAAAUGUUAAAAUUCAUACUGAAUCAGAAAAGAUCCAGAAUAGCCAAGGUAAUCCUGAACAAGAAAAACCUGAGGCAUCACAAUACCUGACUUCAAAGCAUAAUUGAAAGCUAUUGUAAGGGUUGGAGUGUGGAUGGGAGAGAGGGUAGUAUGGGAUGUAUCACUAUGUUCCUAAAUCUGUAUAUAUGAAAUACUCAAGCCUUCUGUAGCUUAAAUAAAAUAAAAUAAAAAAAUAAAAAACAGUGUGAUGCUGACAAAAAACUGAGACAUAAAUCAAUGGAACAGAAUAGACAGCCCAGAAAUUAAUCAAUAUACAUUCAGCCCAAUGAUUUUUGACAAAAGUGCAAAGACAAUACAGCAGAGUAAGGACAAUCUCUUAAAUAAAUGGUGCUGGAAAAACUGGAUAUAUAUAUAUAUAUAUACACACACACACACAUACAUAUACAUAUACAUAUACAUAUAUAUGGAGAAGAAUGAAAUUGGAUCCAUACUUUUUUAAAGUUUUUAUUUAAUGAAUGCAUUUUUUUCAUAGAUACAACUUUAGGGAUAUAGUGGUUCUUUCCCCCAUACCCACCCUCCCCCACCAACUCCCAUCUCACCUCCCUCUCCCUCUCCUAUCUCCUUCUUCAUUAUGGUUCAUUUUUAAUUUGAUUUUAUAUACAGAGGACCAACUCCAUGUUGAGCAUAGAUUUCAACAGUUUGCACUCAACGCACACACAAAACAUAUAGAGUACAGUUUGGGAACAAAAUUUGCAGUUGAUUCUCAUAGUACAACUCAUUAGGGACGGAGGUCCUACAUGGGGACUAAGUGCACAGUGACUUCUGCUGUUCCUUUAACAAUUAACAGUCUUAUUUAUGAUGUCAGUGAUCACCCAAGGCUCUUGCCCUGGGCUGCCAAGUCUAUGGAAGCCUUUUGUGACCAUAGACUCCAUUGGCAUUUGGACCCAGCCAUAAAAGUGGAUGUUUGCUCCUCCUUUCAGAGAAGAGUAUAUCCUUCUUUGAUGACACUUUCUUUCCACUGAAGUCUCACAGAGAUUCUCUGUGUAGGAUACUUUUUUUGCAUAGACUCUUGAGUUUCCUUGCCUGAAAUGCUCUCACAGUCAUUUCAGCUAGACCAGGAAGCCUUAAGGGUUGAUUCUGAGGUCAGAGUAUUAUUUAUAGCAAAUGUCAUUUUAGGAGUCUGCUGUGUGGACUGCUUCCCAUAUGGGAGUUUCCUUCUUUUUUUUUUUUAAAUAUUUAUUUAUUUAUUUGAAAGUCAGAGUUACACAGAGAGAAGGAGAAGCAGAGAGAGAGAGAGAGAGAGAGAGGUCUUCCAUCUGUUGCUUCACUCCCCAUUUGGCCACAGCAGCUGGAGAUGUGCCAAUCUGAAGCCAGUAGCCAGGAACCUCUUCUGGGUCUCCCAUGCGGGUGCAGGGGCCCAAAGACUGGGCCAUCUUCUACAGCUUUUCCAGGCCAUAGCAGAGCGCUGGAUCAGAAGUGGAGCAGCUGGGACUUGAACCAGUGCCCAUAUGGGAUGCUGGCACUGCAGGCAGCAGCUUUACCCACUACACCACAGCAGUGGUCCUUUUCCUUCCUUUUUAAUUCUAUUAUUCUACCAGACACUUGAUGUUAUUUAUAUGAUCACUUUUAUACUUGAAGCUAUCUAUAUGUUGUCUUGAACUUUUAAUAUGAUUAUUUUAACAGUUAAGAUGGCAUUUAUACCACUGAAUUUUAUGGGUUUGGAGUCCCAGGACAGGAUUUUAGGCUGUAUUCUUAGAAGUAAGUCUAUAGGAAUGUAUGCAGAACUAUACUGCUUUACAGUUAUAGACUACCUCCUCCCUCUCUUAUUCCCCCUCUUAUUUUUGACUGGAAUCUUUUCCCAAUUGACUUCAAAUACAUAAAAUACAUAUGAUUAACUAUGUUACAUAAAGAGUUCAGUGUAUAGUAUGAAGAAGAGAAAAGAAAAAGAAAACAGAAAAGAACAAAACAAAAUAAAACAAAAAGAUAUACAAAAUAAAACAUAGCAAUGAUAAACUGUUCCUCAAUAGUCAGGUCAAGGACUAUUCAAGUCAUUGAUUCUAAAAGUGUCUAUUGCACUUGUAUAACUUUCUUUUCUUUCUUUCUUUUUUUUUUUUUUUUUUUUUUGACAGGCAGAGUGGACAGUGAGAGAGAGAGCGAGACAGAGAGGAAGGUCUUCCUUUUCCGUUGGUUCACCCACAAUGGCUGCUGUGGCCAGUGCGCUGCGGCUGGCACACCAUGCUGAUCUGAAGGCAGGAGCCAGGUGCUUCUCCUGGUCUCCCAUGUGGGUGUAGAGCCCAAGGUCUUGGGCCAUCCUCCACUGCACUUCUGGGCCAGAGCAGAGAGCUGGACAGGAACAGGAGCCACUAGGACAGAAUCCAGUGCCCCAACUAGGACUAGAACCCGGUGUGCUGGUGCCGCAGGCAUAGGAUUAGCCUGUUGAGCUGUGGCGCCGGCCUACACUUCUAUAAUUUUCAUUUUAGGAGUGCUAUUAAUUCUCCCAAAUCCGGGAGAACAUAUGGUAUUUGUCUCUUUGGGACUGGGUUAUUUCACUAAGUAUCGGGUUUUCCAGUUUGCUCCAUUUUGUUGCAAAUGACUGGAUUUCAUUUUUUUUUAUUGCCGUGUAGGAUUCCAUAGUGUACACAUUCCACAAUUUCUUAAUCCAUUCUUUGGUUGAUGGGCAUUUAGGUUGCUUCCAUAUCUUAGCUAUUGUGAAUUGAGCUGCAAUAAACAUAGAGGUGCAGAUAGCUCUUUUGUUUACUGAUUUCAUUUCCCUUGGGUAAAUUCCCAGGAGUAGGAUGGCUGGGUCAUAUGGUAGGUCUAUAUUCAGAUUUUUUAAGGUAUCUCCAUACUGUUUUUCAUAGUGGCUUUACCACUUCACACUUCCACCAACAGUGGUUAGGGUGUCCUUUUCACAACAUCCUCUCCAGCAUUUGUUGUUUGUUGACUUCUGUAUGAGGGCCACUCUAACUCAUUGUGGUUUUGAUUUGCAUUUCCCUGAUUGCUAGUGAUCCUGAACAUUUUUUCAUGUGUCUGUUGGCCAUUUGGAUUUCCUCUUUUGAAAAAUGCCUGUUAAAGUCCUCGGCCCAACUCUUAACUGGGUUGUUUUGUUACUGUGGAGUCUCUUGAUCUCUUUGUAGAUUCUGGUUAUUAAUCCUUUAUCAGUUGUGUAGUUUGCAAAUAAUUUUUCCUAUUCUGUCGGUUACCUCUUCACUCUGCUGUUUCUUUUGCUGUACAGAGACUUCUCGAUUCGAGGUAAUUCCAUUUGUUCAUUUUGGCUUUCACUACCUGUGCCUUUGGUGUCUUUUCCAGGAAUUUUUUGCCUGUACCAGUGUCUUAAAGGGUUUCCCCAAUGUUCUUGAUUAAUUUGAUGGUGUUGUGGCAUAGAUUUAGAUCUUUAAUCCAUGUUGAAUGGUAGAUCCAUACUUUUCACCAUCUACAAAAACCAACUCAAUAAAGAUCAAUGACCUAAAUUUAAGACCUGAGUCUAUGAAGUUGCUAGAAUAAAACAUAGGGGAAAUACUCCAAGACAGUGGUGUAGGCAAUGACUUCUUAGACAAGAUUCCCAAAGAACAAGUAUCAAAAGUAAAACUAAAUAAAUGUAACUAUAUGUAGAAGCUAAAAUUUUAAAAAGAAAGAUGUCUGUUUACAGAGGAACACAAAUGUAGGUAUGAUUAUUUUGGAGUCUGAGAUAUAGAAUGGCCUUAAAUCAAGCAAAUAGUCAAAAGUGGGAAAAGCACUGGAAUCCAAUUACAUAAAUGAAACUAGAGUUUACAAAAAUACAGAAAUAAUCUGGAUAAUUCUUGUGUCUGACAUUGUAACUUAGACUCCAACCAAGUGAAACAAAUAUUGAUGUAAGUGGAAAGAGAACUACAGUAUGACCUAGUAUGAACCUAAUAAUUAUGAAAGAACGUAAGAAGAAGUUGGAUCAUCCUGAAUUCCAAAGGUCAACACUGGACUUAAGCAAAAGAACCUUGUGGUAAGUGGGAUUAACACAGGAGUCUUACAUUCUAUAACCAAUUUGGGAGAUGCAAAGCAACAUAGAGGUAAUUGGAAUCAAGUAUGGAUUCUGAUGAUCUUUCAUGGAGUAGGUAGUAGGAAAAAGGACAUAGAGGUAAGUGUAUACAAUAAACUCUGGUCUCUUAUUAUCUAGCAUGGAAUUUUGAAAAAUAAUAAUAGAGGCAAACAUGAUAAAUUCUGGAGCCCAUUUACCUAUAACAAACUUGGGAUUUACAAGAGAAUAUAGAGGUAAAUGCAAUAAUUCGAGAGUGUGAAUUUAAAAGAACAAAGGAACAUAGUGGCUAGAGGGAUCAACCCUGGAGUCAAAAAUAAAAAAAAUCUAUUGUCAAAUUGGGAGAAGCAGAGUAUCAUAGAAGGAUGUGUGAUCAACUCUGGAUGGGAUGAUCUAUCUUGAACUAGGAAGAAGCAAAAGGAUAUGGAGGAAAGUUUAAUACACUCUGGAACUGAAAUAUAUUUCUGAGAAGCAAAGAAACAGAGAUUAAUGGAACAACCUCUGGAGUCUGAUUUUCUAGAAUUAACUUGGAAUUCACAUAAGAACACAUAUGUAAGUGUGAUAAUUUUAGAAUAUGACCUUCUAGCAUGUGCUGAAAAAAGUACAAAAAUGUUGAAGUUAGUGGAGUUGAUACUAUAGUCCAAUAAUUUACCAUGGAAUUUGGAGAAGCAAAACAACAAACAGGUAUCUGUAAUAAACUUUGGAUAGCAAUGGUUUAUCUUGGACUAUUGAAAUUUAAAGGGCUAUAAGGGUAGGUGGAAUGAAAUCUGUAGUACAUAUAUCUAGCAUAAAUUUGUGAUAAGCAAAGGAAAAUAGAAUGGAAUACACAUUGAAAAUCAGUUACCUACAAUAAUGAAUUUGUGAUUUACAGGUGAACUAAAAUAUGUUAGUUAAUUCUGAAAUCUGAAGAUCUACCAUGACCUUAAAUCAAACACAAAUAAUAAUAGAUGGGAUAAAUAUUGGAGCCCAGAUUCUAGAAUGUACUUCAGAUAUACAAGAAAACAAAGAAGUAGUAUAAUUCAGGAGUCCACAGAUCUACUGUAGAAUUAAAAACAAACAAGGCAACACUGACAUAAUUGGACAAGCACUGGAGUCUGAUGAACUAGAAUGAAUUUUUUAUUUAGAAAAGAACAUAUAAAUAUGUUAAAUCAUUCUGGAAUCCAAAUAUCUGCAUUACAAUUAAAUGAAGCAAAGGAACAUAGUGAUAAGGGGGUUGACUCUGGAUUCAUAUAUUCCAUCAUCAAUUUGGGAGACACAAAGCAUCAUAGAGGUAUUGGGAUCAAAUACAGUUUUCAGUGAUCUAGUAUGACUCUGGAGAAGCAAAAGAUAUAGAGGUGAGUGGAAUAAAUUCUGCACUCUGAUUAUCUAGCAUGGGCACUGCAGAAACAAAGAAACAUAGAUGUGUUAUAAACUCCAGAGUCUGUUUACCUAAAAUGAACUUAAGAUUUCCAAAAGAACAUGGAAGUAAAUGGCUUAAUUCUUGAUUCUGAUGUUCUGCUAUGGAUUUGAAACAAGGAGAAGAACAUAGAGGAAACUGUAAUUGACCCUGGACUCUGAACGUCUGCCAUCAAAUUGAGGGAAGCAAAACAACACAGUAGGAUGUGUGAUAAACUCUGGAUCCAAUGAUCUAUCUUGGACUAGGGGGAUAUAGAGCAUGGGCAUAAAACAAGAAAAGGAUUAUAGAAUAAAGUUCAAUCAUCUCUGGAGUACAAUAAUCUGCCAUUAAUUUGAGAGAAGGAAAGAAACACAGAGGUGUGUGUGUGAUGAACUCUGGAUUCCAAUGAUCUAGCAUAGAUUGGGAGAAGCAAAGUAAUCUGGAGGUAAGUAGGAUAAACUUGGGAGUCUUGAUUAUCUGGCUUGGUCUUGGGAGAAGAAAAAGAACAUAGAGGUAAGUGGAAUAAAUUCUGGAGUUUGAUUAUCUAGCAUGGAAAUGGGAGUAUCAAAGGAACAUAGAGCUAAGUGGGCUAACUCUGGAAUCUGAAGAUCUAACAGAUUUGUGCGAAGCAAAGGAACAUAGAGGUAAGUGGGAUAUACUCCAAAGUUUGGUUAUCUAAAAUCAAAUUGUGAUUUGCAAAAGAAAAUAUAAUUAUUUGGGAUAAACUCUGGAGUCCCAUUAUCUUUGAGGGACUUGCUACAGGCAAAGAAAUAUGAAUAAUCCUGGAGUCCAGUGAUCUAGCAUGGACUUGGGUGUAGCAAAGGAGAUAGAGGUCAGUAGAAUAAAUCUGGGGUCUGAUUAUCUGGCAUGCACAAAAGGGAAAUGAGGGAACUUUUAGUUAUAUUGGAAAACCUCUUAAAUCUGAUUAUCUAGCAUGUACUUGCAAGUAGCACAGAAACAUAGAGAUAAAUGGAAUUAAUUCUGGAGAUAUAUCAUCUAGGAUGGACUUGAAAGAAGCAAAGGAACACAGAUGUAGGUGAGUUAAACUCUAGAGUCUGAUUGCCUAAAAUGAACUUGCUAUUUACAAAGAACAUAGCUGUAUGCAGAAUAAAAUUGGAUUCUGAUUAUCUCUCAUGGACUUGGGUGAAGCCAAGCAACAUAGAGGUAAAUUACUUCAACUCUGCAAUCCAAUUGUGUGGCAUGCAUUUGGGUGAAAUUAAGGAACAGAGAUUAAUUGAGAUAUAGCAUGGAGUAUAAUUUUCUAACAUGCACUUGAUUGAACCAAAGGAACAUAGAUUCAAGACAUGAACUCUGGUGUCCAAUAAUCUAUUGCUGACUUUGUAGAAUCUAGCUACGUAGUAGUUAAUGGGAUAAUUCUGGAGUCUGAAGAUCUAGUAUGGACUUGAAAUAAGCAAAGGAACACAGAAGUAGGAAAAACUCUGGUGUCUACCAUUGACUUUGGAGAAUGUAGCCAUACAUAGAAACAAAUAGGAUGAACUUGGGGAUUUGCUAACUCUGAAGGAUUUUGUAGAAGAAAAGGGUAUAAAUGUAAGAGGAUAAACUUCAGAGUCAAUUGAUGUAGCAUGGACUGGAAAAAUGGAUAUAGAGUUAAGUAGAGACAAAUUAGCAUGGACUUGAGAGAAAAAAAGGAACAUACAGUUAAUUGGAAUGAACUCUGGAGUCUGAUCAUCUGCCACUGAGUUGGGACAAGUCACUCAGGUCAGUUAGACUCUCUGGACUUCAAUUAUAUAGAUUGGAAUUGAGAGAAGCAAAGCAACAUUUAGGCAUAUGGAAUAAAUUUUGGAGAUCUACUAUUUAGCACAUACUUGGGAAAAGCAAAGAAAUAUUAAAUUGGUUAAUAUAUCAAUGUGUAAAUUGGUUAAUUCUGGAGUAAGGUAUCUAGUGUGAACCUGGAAGAAGCAAAGCAGCAUUGUGGUGAAUGAGAUAAAUUUUGGAGUCUGAAUGUCUAGCAUGGACUUUGGAGAAGCAUAGAAUAUAGGCAUAAGCAGCACAUUUUUUUUUAUUUAUUUGACAGGUAGAGUUACAGACAGUGAGAGAGAGAGAGAGAGACAGAGAGAAAGGUCUUCCUUCUGUUGGUUCACUCCCCAAAUGGCCGCCAAGGCCGGCGCUGUGCCAGUCUGAAGCCAGGAUCCAUGUGCUUCUUCCUGGUCUCCCAUUCAGGUGCAGAGCCCCAAGCACUUGGGCCAUCCUCCACUGCCAUCCCGGGCAUCGCAGAGAACUGGACUGGAAGAGGAGCAGCUGGGACUAGAACCCGGUGCCCAUAUGGGAUGCUGAUGCCACAGGCUGAGGAUUAGCCUAGUGAGCCAUGGCGCCGGCCCUGCAACACAUAUUUUUGGAUCUGACUAUCUAGCAUAGACUUGGGAGGAGCAAAGAGGUAAGUGGGGUACACUCUUGAGUCCAGUUAUCUAUCAUGUACUUGGUUCAACCAAGGGAACAUAAAGGUAAAUCAGAUACAAAGGUAAAUAAUUUUGGAGUCUGAAUUUUAAUCAUGGAGUUGAAAAAUCAAAGGAACAUAGAGGUAUGUGGGAUAAACUCCAAGUUCAUAUAUGAAGCAUGCCAUUGGGAAAAGCAAAGGAACAUGGAGGUAAGUGUGAUAAAAUCCAAAGUCAGUUAAUCUAAUGAUGACUUGGAGAAGCAAGGGAAUGUAGAGGUAAGUUGGAUAAACACUAGAGUCUAAUUUUCUAGCAUGGUCUUGGUACAAGCAAAAGAAUAUGAAGGUAAAUGCGAAUAUCCCUGGGGUCUGAUGAACUAGCAAGUGUAUAUCAAAGGAUGUAGAGAUUACUGGGAUAAACUUGGGGCCUGAUUAUCUGCUUACACAGAGGAGAAACAAAGGAACUUCAGAUAUAUUAGAAAACAUCCUAAGUCUGAUUAUCUAGCAUGUACUUGCAAGUAGCAAUGGAAUAUAGAGGUGAGUGGAAUAGCCUAUGGAGUCUGAUAUUCCAGCAUGGGCUUGAGAAAAAGCAAAGGGACACAGAUGUAAGUUUCUGCAGACUUAUCAUCUAGCACUGACUUAUGACAAACAAGGGAGCAUAGAAGCAAAUUGUAUAAACUCUGAAAUCUGAUAGUUGAAAAUGGAAUUGGGAGAAGGAAGGAAACCUAGAAGCAAGUUAAACAAACUCUGAGGACUAUUUCUGUCAUGAACUUUAGAGAAAUAAAGCAACAUAGAGUGUUUACCAGGAAAUUAGACAAGAGUGAAGUGGUGUACAUCAAUGCAUAAUUUGCACUCUUAUGAGAAAUCAACAUUUGGAAUAUAGGAUGAUCCUGUAAGUGGGUUAAGUGGAUUAAACAGAUGUUUGAAGAAUAAAAGGAAUAUAAUCAUUGAAUUAAAUUCAUCUGGCAUGUAGUUAUUUCCUUUAAUAUAUUAAAGCAGGUCAGGACUGCUGAUGGGAAGUUAGACUUUUUUUGAAUCUAUAUUUUCUGAAGUACCAUUGGUGAAAUUGUUUAACGAAAAAUGUUCCUAUGCCAGAAUUCCAAUAUAAAAGUCCUUCUUGGAGCAUGUUUUCUCUGACUUUUAUAUAGUGAAUAGGGGGGUUGCAACCCUUUUGAGAGUUAUUUCCUAAGCAGUGGAUGCUCUCCAAAGGGGGUAGCCUCUAUGGUCACAAAUGUGCUAACUGACUGAACAAGUCUACUCACAAAAUCAAAAAUUUCCCUCUCACUUUCUAACAAUCAGGACUCAAAGAACAACACCACUGCUAACUGCUGGUUCUAUAAGUGAAUCAGCCUGUAUGCCACUCUAGUCAACUCAGCUAUCCCCAAAAGGAAGUUUGCUGGGUCGAUGAAAUGUUUGAUCUAGCAGUCUACUUAGCUUUCACCAGGAUUCUGAAAGAAUCUGCUUUACUUCAGUUUAUUUUCCUCACCCACAUAAAUUCAGCCCAUUUUACUUUAGUGAGAAAAAACAGAGUCCUUAUUAUAGUCCUUUAAAAAUUUGAAUUAUAUCUGUAUAAUAAGGUAAACAAUGUUUUGAGAUUAUGCUUUGACUCUUUUUUUUUUUUUUUUGUCCUUUUCCAAUUCCCAGAGAGGCCUAAACAAUUAUUUGUGCAUUGGAGAGGUCUGAUGAAUAAUUUUGUUUUGGAUCUUGUAUACAAUGCAUGACUCUGGUUGUCAUCUGUCUCUUCUUUUUUUUAUAAAAAAUAUUUUACUUACUUGAGAGGGAAACAGAGAGGGAGGAGGAGGGAGAGAGAGAGGGAAAUAGAGAGGGAGAGGUAGAAAUUUCCUACACACUGGUUUACUCCUCAAAUGCUCACAACAGUUGGGAACUCAAUCUGGGUCUUUUACGUGGGUGGGGACAAAAUUCCUCUAGCCAUUAGCUGCUUCCUACUCAGGUUGCAUAUUUGCAAGAAGCUUAAAUCAGGAGCAGAACUGGGACUGGAACUCAGGUAUUCCAAAAUGGAAUAUGGGCAUCCCAGGCAGCAUUUUAACCAUUGGGCCAAAUUCCCACCCCUCUGAAUCCUCUUGAGAAUAGACUGCAGUAUUUCAAUUUCUUGAAAAGACUCUGGAAAUCAUACCCUAAUGGAGAGAUAUAUAGAAGAGAAAUUAAGUUUUUGUUGUUGGAUUUUGAAUUUAGAACAAAAAUAUUUGAAACAAUUAUUGUGUCAACCAUCUAUCAGAUACUCUGCUCUAUGUGAAGAUAAAAAGAUGAAUAAAAUUCUAACUUCCCUCAAGGAUUUUAAAGAUUUGCAGGAAAAUCAGACAAAUAGAACAAUAACACCACAAUGAGAUAAGAAUACUGGCAUAUGGAGCUGGUGUAGUGGCCCAGUAGAUUGAGCUGCUGCUUAUAAUGUCAGCAUCCCAUAUUGGAGUGUUGGUUUGAAUUCUGGGUACUCCCCUUCUAAUCCAGUUUCCUACGAAUGCAUGUAGGGUGUAGCAAAUGAUAACUCAAGUACUUGGCUUCCUGCUACAUAGCUGGGAGACCUGGUUGAAGUUCUUGGCUCCUGGCUUCAGUCUGGCCAAUCUUGGCUGUUGCAGGUAUUUGGGGAGUGAACCAGAGAACAGAAGCUCGCUUUCUCUAGCUCUCACUCUGUUAUUCUGUUUUUACAAUGAAUAAAUAAUUAAAAAAUUCUACUGAGAAAUUCCUAUACCUUUCAUUAUAGGAGCACACAUAGACCUAUAGAAAAGUAGUAUCUUGUUGAAUUGUUCAACAUGAUUUUUUAUUCUAUCACUCAGUUGUAUUUGCUUAAUUAUGGAAUAUUUUUCUCUGUAUGAAAAUUUUUUUUUCUUGUUACUGGGGAUGUGCAAAUUAAGCUUAAAUUAGAAGAAUAAAAAAUAGGUGAUGAGAAUAGUAAUAUGGAUUAGAUUAGCUAAGAAAGUGAUAAUCUUUCCAAAUCUGAAAUUCAAGGAUUUGUUUGAAAUUUUACUUAUUUAUUUAUUUAUUUACUUUUAAUUUGAAAGACAAGGAGAGAAGGAGAAAGAGAGAGAGAAAGAGAGAGAGAGAACCAAGAACCAGAGAACAGAGAGAGAGGACUGCCAUCUUCCAUCCACUGGUUCACUCUUUACUCCCUAAAUACCCACAAUAGCCCUCCAAAGCCAGAAGCCUGAACUCCAUCCAUCUGGGUCUCCCACGGGACUGGCAGAGACCCAAGUACUUGAGCCAUCACCUUUUGUCUCAUAGGGUGCACAUUAGCAGGAAAUCAGAUCAGAUCUAAGAAGCCAGGACUCAACCUAGGCACUCUGGUAUGGGAUGCAGGCAUCCCAAGAGGGAUUUAAACACUGCUCCAAAUGCCUGCUUUGAAAUUCCAUAUCCAGUGUAGGACUAAAGUUUAUAUAGUAAAUUUGCAUCUAAACUCACUGAGAUCCCUUUAUGAGACUGAAUUCCUCAUUGCCUGAUGCCCGCAGUUUACCAGACCCUUCCCCAUCGCCAAGUUGCAGUUGUGGUGAUCCUCACUGUACAGGGUACUGAGAUCUAGACCACUCAACUCCUGUUUUCUUACCUCUGAUUCCAUUUCUAAAAAGGUCAGUGACUCAAAUUCUGUCACAACUACAGUCUUUAGAGACAUCUUUCAUUGCCAACUUCAAAAUGAUGCAGCAACAUGUUAAUAAGAGAAAAUACUUCCGUAUCCUGUAUUCAGGCUUUUAAAUCCACUCUAUCUGAUUUGCAUCUAAAAACAUUAGGAACUUUCCAUACUAGUUUCACAAUUCAGGCCAGGUAACUAGAUGUUUUAUUUUUCUCAAGUACAGGAUACUGCUUUGAUACAAAAGUUUGUAACAUAAUACAGCAGUGACAUAUGUGGGCAGAAGGGGCUCAUAGACAGGUCUUUUAAAUUGUUUCCUGUGGUGUCUAACAAGGUACAGUUUUUUUCCUUGUAUCUUCUCCAAAGAUGCUUGAUGAUUUCAACUCAGGUUGACAAGAGAGAUACACAAAUCUAGAUCUUUGUUCCUUAGAUUCUUAAAAUAGACCCAAGAUAUAAUAGAAUGAGAAAGGGCAUGACAAUAGCAGUUUUUGUGGAGGAAGUUUUUGGGAGGAUGUUCAAUGUCCGAAUUCAUUCCUUCAUCAAACAUUGACCAAGAAAGCUCUAUGUGUCAUGCUCUGUAUUAAAUCCUGGCCAAUGGAAGGAAAAUAGUACAUGGUUCCUGGUGCCUAAAAGUUUUAAGUCUAAAGUUGACAUAGAUUUUUUUUCCCUAUAUCCUGGGUCCUGAAGAGACUUGGGGUGGUAAAUUUCAAUGUCAAGUGAAGUUAGAUAUAAAGUUUUAAGAUACAACACAGGAUUGAGAGUGAAAAAUUAGUGCAGUAAAGCCAAAGUAUUAUUUCAGAAGCAAUAUAUAGCUAUGUUAAUAAAAGCAAUGCUCAUCUUUACAAAGAGAUGAGAAUUCUUUUUGUAGAAUCACUUUAUGGGCUGGCGCCGCAGCUCAAUAGGCUAAUCCUCCACCUAGCUGCGCCGGCACACCAGGUUCUAGUCCUGGGCGGGGCGCCGGAUUCUGUCCUGGUUGCCCCCCCCCUUCCAGGUCAGCUCUCUGCUAUGGCCCGGGAGUGCAGUGGAGGAUGGCUCAAGUGCUUGGGCCCUGCACUCCAUGGGAGACCAGGAGAAGCACCUGGCUCCUGCCUUCGGAUCAGCGCGAUGCGCCUGCCGCGGUGGCCAUUGGUGGGUGAACCAAUGGCAAAAGGAAGACCUUUCUUUCUGUCUCACUCUCUCACUGUCCACUCUGCCUGUCAAAAAAAAAAAUCACUUUAUGGAGGAGCUAUCAGAGACAAAAAAAUCCUUGGGUAGAACUAGCUGCUUUUAGAAACUCUGUAGAAGUAAUAGAAAUAUUCCAUAAUGGAUUUCCCUGGCCAUUUUAUAUCCUCCCUCCAUCAGCAGGGUCAGAGCUCACUCCUUACUUCCUUUCCCUCCAACCCUUACUGCUAGACGUGAUAAAUCAGAGCCAGACUUUUUGCAGAGUAGCAAACACUAGGCGAAGGAGUGCGCAUUGGCAUUCUACAACUAAGAACGCAACACUUUAUAACUCAACAGUCAAAGGAUACCUGAUUAUUUCUGCUGGAAUGUUUAAUAGAGAUAGUGACAGAGAAUGAAGAGGGAUAUAUGGAUCAGAGGUAGGCUUACAUGUGGUAAUUAGGAGGGGAA